rnacentral:rRNA from 1 species
GUUUACGGCCAUACCACCUUGAAUACGCCCGAUCUCGGAAGCUAAACAGGGUCGGGCUCGGUUAGUACUUGGAUGGCACACCACCUGGGAAUACUGAGUGCUGUAAGCU